CCCACCAAACCCUGUUUAGCCCUGAAUCUCUGAGACGAUAAAACAAUGAGUUAAAACUUUCAACAACGGAUCUCUUGGCUCUGGCAUCGAUGAAGAACGCAGCGAAUUGCGAUACGUAGUGUGAAUUGCAGAAUUUAGUGAAUCAUCGAAUCUUUGAACGCACAUUGCGCCCGCCAGUAUUCUGGCGGGCWYGCCUGUUCKAGCGUCAUUUCAACCCCUUAAGCCCUUGUCGCUUAGUGUUGGGAGCCGAGGGCGUCCGGCCGUCGCUCCUCAAAUCCAGUGGCGGAGGCGGUUUCGCGCUCUGGGCGUAGUAGAUUUUCUCCAUCUCGCCUGCAGCCGGGGCCGGCCUCCCUGCCGUAAAACCACCACCAAUGUACCCAAAGGUUGACCUCGAAUCAGGUAGGAAUACCCGCUGAACUUAAGCAUAUCAAUAAGCGGAGGAAAAGAAACCAACAGGGAUUGCCCCAGUAACGGCGAGUGAAGCGGCAACAGCUCAAAUUUGAAAUCUGGCCCUCGGGUCCGAGUUGUAAUUUGUAGAGGAUGCUUUUGGCGCGGUGCCUUCCGAGUUCCCUGGAACGGGACGCCUUAGAGGGUGAGAGCCCCGUACGGUUGGACACCAAGCCUCUGUAAAGCGCCUUCGACGAGUCGAGUAGUUUGGGAAUGCUGCUCUAAAUGGGAGGUAAAUUUCUUCUAAAGCUAAAUAUUGGCCAGAGACCGAUAGCGCACAAGUAGAGUGAUCGAAAGAUGAAAAGCACUUUGAAAAGAGGGUUAAACAGCACGUGAAAUUGUUGAAAGGGAAGCGUUUGCGACCAGACCUCUCCCCGGCGGAUCAUCCGGCGUUCUCGCCGGUGCACUUCGCCGGGCUGAGGCCAGCAUCGGUUUCCGCGGGGGGACAAAAGCGGGGGGAACGUAGCUCCCUCGGGAGUGUUAUAGCCCCCCGCAUAAUACCCUCGCGGGGACCGAGGACCGCGCUUCGGCAAGGAUGCUGGCGUAAUGGUCGUCAACGACCCGUCUUGAAACACGGACC
rnacentral:rRNA from 1 species